CAAUAGCGUAUAUUUAAGUUGUUGCAGUUAAAAAGCUCGUAGUUGGAUUUCGGAUGGGAUUUGCCGGUCCGUCGUUACGAUGUGCACUGGCCAGUCCUAUCUUGUUGUCGGGGACUAGCUCCUUGGAUUCACUUCCUGGGACUAGGAGCUGACGAGGUUACUUUGAGUAAAUUAGAGUGUUCAAAGCAAGCCUACGCUCUGAAUACAUUAGCAUGGAAUAACACGAUAGGACUCUGGCUUAUCUUGUUGGUCUGUGAGACCAGAGUAGUGAUUAAGAGGGACAGUCGGGGACAUUCGUAUUUCAUUGUCAGAGGUGAAAUUCUUGGAUUUAUGAAAGACGAACUUCUGCGAAAGCAUUUGUCAAGGAUGUUUUCAUUAA
rnacentral:rRNA from 1 species